GGAAUCUUGCACAAUGGAGGAAACUCUGAUGCAGCGAUGCCGCGUGAGUGAAGAAGGCCUUUGGGUUGUAAAGCUCUUUUGUAGGGGAAGAUAAUGACUGUACCCUAAGAAUAAGGUCCGGCUAACUUCGUGCCAGCAGCCGCGGUAAUACGAAGGGACCUAGCGUAGUUCGGAAUUACUGGGCGUAAAGCGCGCGUAGGCCGUUGAGUUAGUUAAUUGUGAAAUCCCAAAGCUUAACUUAGGAACUGCAAUUAAAACUGCUCGACUAGAGUUUGAUAGAGGAAAGCGGAAUACAUAGUGUAGAGGUGAAAUUCGUAGAUAUUAUGUAGAACACCAGUUGCGAAGGCGGCUUUCUGGAUCAACACUGACGCUGAGGCGCGAAAGUAUGGGUAGCAAAGAGGAUUAGAUACCCUCGUAGUCCAUACCAUAAACGAUGAUUGCUAGAUGUUGGAAAUUUAUUUUCAGUAUCGCAGCUAACGCAUUAAGCAAUCCGCCUGGGGAGUACGACCGCAAGGUUAAAACUCAAAUGAAUUGACGG
rnacentral:rRNA from 1 species